AGAGCUGCCAAGUCUCACCCUUUGAGAGUGAGAGUCACGCAAUUUAACCUCUUCACACGCCUCACGCCACACUUGCCAUUUCACACGCUUUUUUCCCCCUCUCACUACUUUAUAAUUUUUUAUUUUAUUUAAUGAUAUAUUUCCAUAACUUGUUGCUUGAGGCCUGCCGUAGUUCGAGUCAGGGACAGGGUGAGCCCGCCCUAUUCUGCCCCCCGAUUGGCUGACCGAGAUAUGUGAUAACCAAUCAUCAGCCCUCGAGGCUAAAUCUAACCAACCCAACGAAAGGCACCACGUAUACAAACCAAUCAGAGGCAGCUUAGGGCGGGUCAUUGCGUCUCUAUCCUAUGAAGACAACUAGAACAACACUUAUGGCGGAGAAAUCGAAAAGUAAACGUGACUAUAAUGCCGUGACUGACAUUUUCAUCUGAAGCGGGAGAUCAAGCGGUCGGUAACCACACAUUAUUUUUACAAAUAUGGGUCUGACUACGUGAGACUUAACGUCACACAGGCUGCUGGUGAGCAGUGUGGCAGGUUGCUGCGGUUUCCUAAACUUCUCCCAUACAACGGACCUGACGAGCGUGACAAACUGAGUGAGGAGUUUCUGGACUACCAGUCCAUGGACAUUGCCAUGCCCGAAGACCCAGACACGUUCGACAUUGAGAGCUUUUGGGGGAACAUGGCAUCAAUGAAGAAUAAGGUGACCGGUAUGAGCAGAUUUGGGAGGCUCUCUCGUAUUGCCAAGUUGGUGUUGGUACUUCCACAUUCAAAUGCUGAUGCUGAACGAGUGUUCUCUG